rnacentral:rRNA from 1 species
UACGUAGGUGGCAAGCGUUGUCCGGAUUUAUUGGGUUUAAAGGGUGCGUAGGCGGCCCUGUAAGUCAGUGCUGAAAUACUCCGGCUUAACCGGGGGGGUGGCAUUGAUACUGCAGGGCUUGAGUACAGAUGAGGUAGGCGGAAUUGACGGUGUAGCGGUGAAAUGCAUAGAUAUCGUCAAGAACACCGAUAGCGAAGGCAGCUUACUGGGCUGUAACUGACGCUGAUGCACGAAAGUGUGGGGAUCAAACAGG